rnacentral:misc_RNA from 1 species
AACAUCGCGCACCUGCGGGAACCUGCGGAAGGAUCAUUACAGAGUUGCAAAACUCCCUAAGCCAUUGUGAACGUUACCUAAACCGUUGCUUCGGCGGGCGGCCCGGGUCCUUCCCGGCGCCCAUCGGCCCUCGCGGGCGCCCGCCGGAGGUAAACCAAACUAUUGCAUUGUAUGGCCUCUCUGAGUCUUCUGUACUGAAUAAGUCAAAACUUUCAACAACGGAUCUCAGAUCGGAAGAGC